rnacentral:rRNA from 1 species
CGUGUAGGCGGGUCUUUAAGUCAGGGGUGAAAUGCCAAGGCUCAACCUUGGAACUGCCUUUGAUACUGGAGACCUUGAGUCCGGGAGAGGUGAGUGGAAUUGCGAGUGUAGAGGUGAAAUUCGUAGAUAUUCGCAAGAACACCAGUGGCGAAGGCGGCUCACUGGCCCGGAACUGACGCUGAGACGCGAAAGCGUGGGGAGCAAACAGGAUUAGAUACCCUGGUAGUCCACGCUGUAAACGAUGGAUGCUAGCCGUUGGGGAGCUUGCUCUUCAGUGGCGCAGCCAACGCUUUAAGCAUCCCGCCUGGGGAGUACGGUCGCAAGAUUAAA